UACGUAGGGUGCAAGCGUUAAUCGGAAUUACUGGGCGUAAAGCGUGCGCAGGCGGUUCGGAAAGCAAGCUGUGAAAUCCCAGAGCUUAACUUUGGAAUGGCAUUGUUAACUACCGGGCUAGAGUAUGUCAGAGGGGGGUAGAAUUCCACGUGUAGCAGUGAAAUGCGUAGAGAUGUGGAGGAAUACCGAUGGCGAAGGCAGCCCCCUGGGAUGAUACUGACGCUCAUGCACGAAAGCGUGGGGAGCAAACAGG
rnacentral:rRNA from 1 species